UAAUUACAAUUGCAUUGAAUCUGUUGGUAUGGUUUAAGCGGUGGCACUUAGGGUUUUUGGGACAGGGCUGGAACAUGGAGUCGGGUUUAAUUUGCCACUAGUUUUAGGCUUGACAUUCAAACAUUGGGAUGUUGCGGGUUCAGGUCCGGUGUGCUUAAUAUCAAUGUCUGCAAGUUCCACAUUUUGACAUGGCGAAGAACCGCUGCAAAUAAACUUGACAGCUUCUGGAAGCGCAGAUGUGCCACGGAUGUUCUUGAAGCUAAUGUUGCUUAGUUUAACUUUCGAUUCUUCCUGCAUCAACACAACAACGAUUCAAUGAUGAAUUAAAUAUUGUCACUCUAUUAGGAUUUUGAUAAGAAUGUACAUACAUUUAUCUUGCAUUUACUCCAUGGGCAAUAUUUUUGAUCAAUUAGGAUAGGGGAAGAGACAUUGUUCACGAUAAUAUCCUCAAAAUGUACAUCUGAUACUAUCCCAGGAGAUUCGCCUGGCCAAGUUUUGAUUCGAGCUCCAUUCGAAGUAUUAGUGAUGGUGCAGUUUGUGACUUUAACUCCCUCAACUGGCUCUUCAUUUGGGUACUUUCCAAGACUACCGAUACUUAUACCAUGUCCUGGUCCACAAGUUAUAUCUUUUAUGUCCAAAUUUUUAGUGCCAUCUCCGAUAGAAAUACAAUCAUCACCAGUUUUAAUCUCACAUCCAAUAAUAUUUACGCCGUCUGAUUUGCCCAUGUGAAUCCCAUCUGUGUUUGGGCUAUCUGCCGGUGCCUCUACCGUGAAACGUUCGAGGGUAAUGUUUUUGCAUGCAAAAACAUUAACGUGGAAUAGUUUACUGUCUUUGCUAGUUAUAUCUUGUAUCAAUGCGUUGGUCAGAAAGUCAAACCUUAUAUUCUGUUUAAUUUUGGAGUUAACAAAGUAACACACGAAACAAAGAUGUUAGUUAUAAUUAUAUUUUGAUAAUAAUAAGAGGAAAGAGAAUAAAUAAAUUUUGGCAAGAGGGAAGAAAGCUGACAACGGGGAGUUUGACACGAAAUGCACGAUUGUGGGGAUCUUUAUUCUUCUCAUAAGCAAUGCUUCCCUGACCAUCGAAAAUUCCUCCGCCGGACAUUUUGAAAUUUUCAAUACUAUAGAAUCUAACCCAAUUAGGGUCCUUGAAAGCACCAGGAUCAGCCGGAGCCUUUAUAGUGCCCUGAACAUUAAUCUCAAUAGGAGCCUUGCAUGGACCUUCUAAGUUUACUUUUGAUAAUAAAUAUGUCCCUUUAGGAAUCACAACUGUUGAUGGGGUUACAGAGGCACAUGCUUCUUUCCAAGCAUCCAAAAAUGGCUAAAAUGAAAUGAAUAAAGACAUCAGUUUGAAAUAUAAUUUCUUUCAUAUUUUCACCUUUGGGUACAAAGUUAAGAGCAAUUCAACUUGCCUUACUCAAAUCCGUUUUCCCGUCAGCUUUUGCGCCAAACUUGGCAACAACAUCAAUAGCGCCUGAUUGAACUUUAGAGGCUGAAAUGAAUAAUAAUAAAAGCACAAACAUGGAAGGAACAAUAUUAAGGUGUGGUGCCAUGUUUUUAUUUGGUUUUGAAAUUACACGAAGAAUGGCUUUUCCUUUUGUUUUUUUCCAAAUAUAUAGAAAUUUUGAGAAAAUUACAACCAAUCAAAUAUAUUACUAUUUAAUCAAUGUGGAAAAGUCAUAUGGCCAAGCUUCAAUAUCUAUGAUUAGCUUGUUUCUUUAAUAUCAACUUCGCACGGUUAGAUAGUUUUGUGGUUAAUUUUUUCACAACUUUAAUAAUUUAAACUAUGUGAAAGGAUUUUAUUAUGGAAAGAUUGAAAAGCAUUAUUUUACAUUUUAUCUUCAAAAUAAUAUCUUUACUAGAUGGUGGCGAAUAUAAUUAUGUUCCGUUAAAUUUAUCAAUGUUAUUUCGAAAAGUAUAAUCCUAAUUAUUCAAUAAAAAUUGUUGAUACAGUAAUGUGGUUUGGUGGUUGACGAAGGUUCACACCAUAUUGCCGAAAGCAAUUCUGGUGGUUUCUAGCACUCUUCUCAAUCACUGUUUUCCUGGCCCUAUAAUACCUAGUCGAGCUAACGUUCGCCCUGGACUUCAGCCUAAACUUCACCCACGUAACAAUUAUUAGUGAAAACCUGAUGGGCAUUUGACUUCUCUUUCCAAAUAGAUUUACUUUUAUCUUUUAAUUUCCUCAACUUCUCUCAAGCAUCUUGUAAUUUCUUAUCUUCAUCCCCAUCUAACACGUAUCGAAUUUCACAAGGUAUGACUUUUCACCACCAACACCAACCCUUUCAUUAUCACCCUUGUAUGAAUCCUCACGUUCACCUUUACCCUCAUCCCCACCCCUCAUUCUAGAAGAUACAAACUGACCAUGAGAUAAAAUGGAUCGAAUUAGUGGGAAAAUAUUGAACCUAAAUAGAUGAUCGGCAUUCUAUGAUAGUAACCUGCAUUUGACAAGGUAAAUGGACAAAGCUUUACAAGCUUAGCUUUCGUAACAUUAUAUAUUGGGGAGAUCGAUCAUGGUACUUUUAGUAGAUUGAGUCUACAACUAAAUAAAUUCUAAUUAAGAUUUUAUUUAAGCCCUAAUUAUUUAUGUACGAUCGAUCCCUCUGCUAGCUUAAUAUAACUCUAAGUAGAUUGCAUAAUAAGAACUGAUUGAAUGUAUGGAUGCAAAUGAUAUAUUAGAAUUAGAUGGAUGAAUUACUAUUCCAUGUAAAUGCGAUUUCAUGAGAAUGGAAAAGAUGACCCGGAAUUAAUUUAAUUCCGUCGGUUUGUUAUUUAAUUCAAUGAAUAAAUUAAAUAAAUAAGUCCAAAGUGAGGAUUAAAUUAAGUAGUUAACGUAGUUAUAUUUUGUUCAGAUAAUUAAAUUAAUUUGCAUGUAAAUUCUAGUCUGGAAAAGCCUUCAUGAUUCUAACAAAAAUUGAAUGGGGUGUUUUGUAAAUUAAGUAGUGGAAAUAAUUAAAUUUAAUGAAAUAUUUAAUUUCAAAAAACUUAAUUCAUGGAAGAAUAUAUGCUAUUGGGUUAGAUAAUCAUAUGGUCUUGAUUUCUUAUUUAAGUCAAGAGAGGUAGGCUCGUAUAAUUAAACUGGAGAACAAACCACUAAGGUAAGUGUGCCUCCGCACACAAAGAGAAGUUAUCUCUUGGAGUCGCUGGCCAUGGGGUUAAAAAUGUCCUAGUUGGACUUUAGUUCUUCUAUAUUAUUUAUUUUACGUACAUCGGAUACAAAUAUAACUCUUGCAUAUGUUUCUUUAUCAAUACCCAAUUUAUGUAAAAAAAAACCAAGGACAAUAUAUACUAAGAGAAAACUUUGUAGAAAUUUAUUGAAAUAUUAGUUAGAUUCUAUUUUCUUUCAACUCAAAUCAAUUCUAUCGUUUUAGACUUUGUAAUUUAGAUUUUUAAGAUUAUAAUGACAUUCUUCUAAAGAGAAUAAUUGAAUUAUAGGAGUUGUUUUCGAUUGGGUGGAACACAAAGAGGUAGUUGACAUACCUCCUUGAUUAGUCUCGGUUUACGUCUUCUUUUCAGUUUUGGAUAGGACGCAAAGAGCUAGAUGCAUAGUUGCUUGAGAAGUCUCGAUUCACGUCUUGUGCUUUACUUUUUCAGUUACAUCCCACUUUCCAAGCACCUGAGUGUUCAAGAAUAGGGAAGAAAAUCGUUCAGUAGAAAGGUUGAAGACAUUGGACUACUAUUCGAAUUGAUCAAGACAAUGAAGGCAUCUCCCAAACUUUCCUUGCGACUUGGACAUCCCCUAAGCCUUGGACCACAACGAUUAAUUUGAUCAAAUUUAUUACUUUAGAUGUCACGAUAAUGCCCAUUUUACUAUAGAAAUUAAAACUCUAAUGUUCCUACCCUAGCUACUUUUCUAAAUGCAUUUCCAACAUGAACCCCGAAUCAGAAAGAAACCAUGAAAAAAAAGAGUUUCAAGCCAAACACACAAAAAUAAGAAAAAGAGACUAACCUUUGAGAAUCUAAAGGCAAAAACUACACAUCACAUCAACAAAUUUAGGGAUCUUUAAGUGAUAAUCGCAAGAUACCCAAACACUACACUUAAUCUCGAUGUAAAUAUCUCACCUUUCUAAAAAUCUUUAUACAGUUCCACAAAAUGUUCUCUCAUUCUCCUUUUUGGGGUUCAAUUUGUUUAUAUGAAAUAAUUAAACAUAAAAUGGCGUCACAUCAUUAUCGAAUAAUGUGGUUAAUGAGUCCCCAAUAGAUUCGAACAUUCGAGAAGAAAGACGCUGUGCAAGUUUGGAGAAGAAGCUUGGUAGAUUAGAAAAGCGCUAGUUUUGGCCGUGGACUAUAAAGACCUAGUAAUUAUUACUGACCUAUUCAAUUCAGAAAUUAGAGAUCAUUCUUGAUUGUGUUGGAAACAUUCGUUUAGAAAAUGAUUGUUUGGAACAACAAAAAAAAUUAAAAAUUUUACAACCCAAGCAGUUGUCAUAUUUAUAGGGACAAACCCUUUUACCAAAAUCAUACUUGUGCUCUGGAUUAGGCGGUCUAAGUUGUUUCUCAAUAUUCUACCAACACGAUCUUCUCAACUAUUCAAAACCUCGGCUAGUUGCUCUAAUCCAUGAAAGGAAGAAAGCUAUGAAAACUUUCUAUUGAUGUUGGAGUGGCGAAUAUUGAUGUCCCUUUAUGGGCCAAAACUUAAAAAGUAAACAUUCAUAUUUUUAAUUUUUUUUGAAUUAAAUCUCAAUAAAGUUUUACGAUGUCGAUGCUUCACAUCGUGUGUGGUUGACCUAGCCUAUGCUCUCUAUUUAUAGAAAAAUCGCAAGAGUUCUUGGUCGAACAAGAAGAAGAAAAUAUAUAAUAACAUUUUAAAAGAGAAUACACAUAAUUCUCUAGUAGGAAUAUGUAUGGGCUUCAACACCCUCUCUUAGAGAUAGGGUUGUCGCCCAUCUUACGUGGAUGGGGUCAUCGGGUCUAUCUCAUGUAUUUGGUGUUAAUUAUAUGUGUCAUUUAGUAAUUUAAUCGACGCAUAUAAUUUAACCAACCAAAUAAAAAAUUUUCUAUUUCCCAAAAUAUUAAUAAUUUAUUAAUUAAUUGAAAUAAAUUUUACUAAUUCCAACAAUUAAAUUUUUUUCCAACCUAGUUCUAAUUCCGUUAAAUUCAUGACAUAUUUACCACACUAGAAUCUAUGAGUAAAUGAUCUAAUUAUUUUGUUCACCAAGAUUGCGUUAAUUAAUUAAUUUAAUUUUUACUUCAAACACCGGUUCAGUGAUUACUAUUAAUUAAAAUAAUAAUUCGAAUAAAUUAAUUUAGUCUUCAAGUCAUCUCUCUUUUAUAACGAGAAAUUCCAUUCACUACGGAUAGUGAUACAUUCGAUCCUUUUCUGUAAUUCAUCAAUUUUAUUUAUUCACUCAUCAAUUCAAAUGCAAACCAUCAAGGUUGUAUAGAGCUAAUAGAGGGGCCCACUGGAUAUAUAAUUAGAGCUCAAAUGUUUGUACUUAAGUGCCAUGACCGACCUCUUCUUAUUAUAACUCAUUAUGAAACAACUCACCAAGUGCUCGUCCAAUGAAUUUUUCGUAUGUGCUAUAGCCUCAUAGGAUAUCCCCAAUCCCUUUCAUUUAUAUCCGUUCACCCAAAAUGAUAUUAUCAUAUCUCAUGGUAACCAUCACAUCUUCUUUCAUGAAGAUGUUACGUCAACAGAAAAAGAAACAAACCAAUGAACAAAUAUAAUCAUAUGUCUAAGCAACACAAAUAAUACAGGAAUAUGUUGUUCACAAAAUUUGGACGACGAACUUUCAUUUUAAUUAAAAUCUCAAAUUUAAUAUUUUAUUUUUCCUUAAAACUGCUAUGUUGGAAGACGGUUUUUAUAAAAAAUUACACGUAGAUAAAGAAAAUUUCAAUCAUUAAUUCUAAUUCAAUAUAGAAACUCAGUGAUGGUUUUGUUAUUAGGUUAAAUUAACUAAAUUUUAUCACACUUCGGCUCUUUGUAUUGAUGUGUGUAUUAAAAGCAUUGAAUUCAUAGCAAAAGUUUAAUAAUGGAAAAGAAUUAAAAUGAAAAAGAACUGUUUUUAUGUAAUAUGAAUAAAUAUAUUAAUUACAAUUGCAUUGAAUCUGUUGGUAUGGUUUAAGCGGUGGCACUUAGGGUUUUUGGGACAGGGCUGGAACAUGGAGUCGGGUUUAAUUUGCCACUAGUUUUAGGCUUGACAUUCAAACAUUGGGAUGUUGCGGGUUCAGGUCCGGUGUGCUUAAUAUCAAUGUCUGCAAGUUCCACAUUUUGACAUGGCGAAGAAACCGCUGCAAAUAAACUGACAGCUUCUGGAAGCGCAGAUGUGCCACGGAUGUUCUUGAAGCUAAUGUUGCUUAGUUUAACUUUCGAUUCUUC
rnacentral:lncRNA from 1 species